AAUUUUUCAUACCAUAUUAAAAUAUAAGAUGAAUACCUUUGAGGAGCUAAGUGAUGUCGAAUUGAGGCAGAAAUUAUUAGUCCUUGGAUAUCCUAAAAUACCUAUCACAGAGACUACGCGUGGUAUACUCAUAAAUAAAUUACGAAAAAACUUCAAAUCCAACUCUAUGCUGUCACACCGUAGGAAUCCUGGUCAGAUGUCUAAACAUGAUUUGCCAAUGACUCGGCGCAUAUAUAAUAUUAAGUCCACAGUUAAGGAAGAAAUGCAGACCGCUAACUGCACUGAACAUAAAUAUAAUCGCACUCUUAAAGAGUACUUGCCUUUUACUGUGAGUGGCCUGCAACAUACUGAUCAUUUAUAUUCACCUACGACGGAUUUUAUUCUAAGUUCGCCAGAAACGAAUGUUUCCAAUACCUCCUGCAAAGAAUCUCAUUUAGGAGUUGUAAGCAGAUUAUUGAGUUUCCGGGAAAAAACGUUUCGAAAACCAAAAGCAUGUGAACAUAAUUUCCAAACACUUCUGUCGUUACCAAAAGAAACUAACAAAUAUCUCAGCAAAUCAAAGAGGACGAUGUGUGAUUUUUUAUCGUAUAUAAGCACUCAAUCCCUGCUAAAUCAAAGCUUUAAACCUUGCGUGCUAGUUGGAACGUUCAUAGUAUUUUUUAUUUGCUUGGGAUUAAUUUACAUAUUUCAAAGUCCAAAGCAUUUGCAAACUUACAAUUUCGUAAGUCAAAUACCGGUAUGCGAUGGUACCUUCACAACAGAUGAUUGUUUGUCUCCAGUCGACGCGGAUAUUGCAAUUAAUUUAAUAGCGGAAAUUGAGAAAACCCUUAAAAUUCGUUCUAAAAAGUAUGAAUGUAACAAUAAAAAAACUUCAAUUAGCGAAGCAGAGCUCAUAAAUUAUAUGGAAACAAUGGGCCAUAAUUACAAUGUGCACACUUGGAGGAAACAUUUGAUACAUGCGAGAUUUCUUAUAAAGCAAAACCCUCAGUGGAAUAUAGCAACAACAGAUGGGGAAAACUACAAAUUUUUAAUAGUAAAUCCUGUAUUUUGCUUUUUGGUCACAAAGCUUCAAAGUUUCUUUGUGAUUAUUGGUAUAGGAGCUAUAAUUGCUCUACUGUCUGGAAUAAGCUAUACAAUAUAUCGUUACAUCAGGGCUUGGCGAGUGAAUCGUUCUAAUAUUAUUGAACAGUUCACUACAGACAUUGUAAACGAACUCAUUUAUAGAGCUUCUCUUAGCGAAACUCCAGAAGAACGUGAAGUGAUUAUAAUUCAUUUGCGUGAUAAACUGAUUCCUUUUAAGAAACGAAGCACUCAUUUAAAAUUUUGGAAAGAAGCAUUACAAAUUUUAGAUGCAACAGAUAGCCGAAUACAAUUUGGUGUAAAAAAUGUGGAUGGAGAAGAUUAUCGAACAAUGAAAUGGAUAGGUAAUGCAAAUGGUAAUACUCGAGCAAAUGGGCUUCUUAAGAAAUGGCAAAGUCCAGCAUUCGAUUGCGCAAAUAAAAUUGAUAACCCACCUACUUCAUGUUUAAAAAUUCGGCAUAUGUUUGACUCCUCAGAAGUCAACAUUCCGAAUUUGAAACAAAUAAUAGAAGCAGCUCUAAUAGAGAAAGUGGGAACUCGUUGUUGUAUUCAAGAUAUCCAGAUUGAUAAACAAAGUUGCUGUGUUUAUGUUCGAUGUGGUAGUGAGAUUGAUGCUGGUAUAAUACAUAAUGAGAUUAAUGGCUGGUGGUUCGACAAACGUUUAAUAUCGAUUAAAUUCUUACGACUACAGCGGUAUCUAGCACGUUUUCCGAACAGUGUGGGCUUAGAUUCCUAAGUAAAACAACAGCCUGUUGACUUUUGUAUUUAAAUACAUUUAUUGUAAUUAUCCUUUUAUUUAAUUUGAAUGAAAAAAACGGCAGUUAAACGAAGCAGCGAAUAUCGUCUGCCUUACUAAAUAAUAUGAUCCUUCGUAGAUCCUGCGCGUUUAAAGGGGGAUACACGACAUCAGCUUACUGGCGCCAUCAAGGGAUUGUAAAAUCAAGCUCGAAGCAUAGAACAUACCAGCAUGCUGGUACAAUAUUUAUUUCUUUA